AUUGAACGCUGGCGGCAGGCCUAACACAUGCAAGUCGAGCGGUAACACAGGGAGCUUGCUCCCGGGUGACGAGCGGCGGACGGGUGAGUAAUGUCUGGGAAACUGCCUGAUGGAGGGGGAUAACUACUGGAAACGGUAGCUAAUACCGCAUAAUGUCGCAAGACCAAAGAGGGGGACCUUCGGGCCUCUUGCCAUCAGAUGCGCCCAGGUGGGAGUAGCUAGUAGGUGGGGUAACGGCUCACCUAGGCGACGAUCGCUAGCUGGUCUGAGAGGAUGACCAGCCACACUGGAACUGAGACACGGUCCAGACUCCUACGGGAGGCAGCAGUGGGGAAUAUUGCAAAAUGGGCGCAAGCCUGAUGCAGCCAUGCCGCGUGUAUGAAGAAGGCCUUCGGGUUGUAAAGUACUUUCAGCGGGGAGGAAGGUGUUGAGGUUAAUAACCUCAGCAAUUGACGUUACCCGCAGAAGAAGCACCGGCUAACUCCGUGCCAGCAGCCGCAGUAA
rnacentral:rRNA from 1 species